UAGCUCUUCUUCUCCUUGGACCUACUUCUACUUUCCGGUCUCGUUUUCAAAUAUAUCCGAUUUCGAUCAUUCGUGCAGAUUUAUAGCCCAGUUUCCUGUCAUGCUUUCCAAUAUUAGUGGCUUAUCCCCUUCUUACAUUUACAAAAACCUGUUGGAAGGCGUCGAGGUGUCCUGGUAUCGUUUUUGGCCUUCAAACCCGAUUCUCAAAGUGUAAGAGACUUCGAUCUUUAGAUUCUUUCAAUCUAUAACUUUUCAAGGCCUUAUUUAUUGAUUGGUUGCUUUUUUUUUUCCUGGGGGGGGGGGUAUUCUAGCUUGCUACAGUUGCUACUUCCAAUUGCAGCAUACAUAGUAACCAUUGCGAACUUUCUUCAGCAGGGAAGCAUCAACUAUUAUACUCCUUAUCAUAAAGGUUAAUGUUUCAGAUUUCAUAAGUAUCUGUAUUUAUUGGAUUUGCCCUUGAAUUGCAUUCAAGUUAGUAAUACUAUUGUUGAAUUGGUGUUUUAAACAGCAUCCUUCUUAGUUUGUCUUGCAGUAUCAGGUAAAUCUCUUUCCCCGCCCCACUUUUUUAUGUUAUCUUUAUAAAAUAAUCAUGAAUGCUGAUUUAUCCUUGUGUAUGCCCCUUGAUGGGCAAGCAGCUGGCAUAUUGUUAGCGAGAACUUUGUUGGGGAUAUUCUGCCUCAUUACACUUGUUAUACACAAACUAAGGAGGAGGCAUUUAUCGAUGGAUGAUAAUAUUGAGAACUUUCUUAAAAGUCAAAAUAAUUUAAUACCAAUUCGAUAUUCGUAUUCUGAAAUAAAAAGAAUUACGGAAGGUUUUAAAGUUAAAUUAGGUCAAGGAGGUUAUGGUUCUGUGUUUAAAGGAAAGCUUCGCAGUGGUCGGCUAGUGGCAAUAAAAAUGUUGGAUAAAUUCAAAGCAAAUGGAGAAGAUUUCAUCAAUGAAGUUGCUACUAUUGGAAGGAUUCAUCAUAUUAAUGUAGUGCAACUUAUUGGAUUUUGUGUAGAGAGAUCAAAACAAGCUCUUGUAUAUGAUUUUAUGGUGAAUGGGUCUUUGGAUAAAAUUAUAUUUUCAAAGGAGAAUUGCACUUUAAGUUGGCAAAAAUUAUUUGAGGUUGCACUAGGUGUGGCUCGAGGGAUUGAAUACUUGCACAGGGGUUGUCAAAUGCAAAUUUUGCAUUUUGAUAUCAAGCCGCACAACAUUCUUUUGGACGAAAACUUUAUCCCUAAAGUUUCUGAUUUUGGUCUUGCAAAAUUAUAUUCAGUGGAUGAUAGUAUUAUUUCUCUCACAGCGGCUCGUGGUACAUUAGGAUACAUUGCUCCUGAAUUAUUUUACAGAAAUAUUGGAGGCAUCUCAUAUAAAGCCGAUAUUUAUAGUUUUGGAAUGUUAUUAAUGGAAAUGGUGGGAAGAAGAAAGAAUUUGAAUGCAUUUGAUGAUCAUUCUAGUCAAAUUUAUUUUCCGUCAUGGAUUUAUGAUCGAUUUGAACAAAGAGAGAACAUAGAAUUAGGGGAUGAAACAGAAGUUGAUGACAAAAUAGCAAGGAAGAUGAUAAUGGUUGCAUUUUGGUGCAUACAAAUGAAUCCCACUAAUCGUCCUUCAAUGAGCAAAGUUUUGGAAAUGCUCGAAAAUGAACUUGAUCACCUUGAAUUACCGUCCAGACCUUCACUAUUUUCUCUCGAAAAGUCAAUUGAAGAUCAUGUUAGUAAGAAUGUAUCGGAGGAACCAUCAACGUCAAAAAGUUGUGUGGACCUCUAAGUAUAAUGUUUGAUUUUAUUCGGGCCUUUUAUACAUAUAGUUCUGCAACUGUAAGCUUUUAAUUUGUAGCAUUUCAUGUUCAGUUGUAUAAUAUCCAGCAUCAUGUAAUACAACUAUUAAUGGAUGUGUGUUUUAGACUUUAGCUCCUUAGCUUCAUGUUUCAAUUAUUAAAAAUGUCUCCCAGUCACCAUAUAAUGAGUUAAUAUCAAAUUCGUUUACAAUUAUUUAGUAUAUAAGUGACUCUUAACAUUGGGUGAUCUCAUGAGAAAGUUUUUACUGAUCUCUUAUUGUAAUAUGUAAUCAUGAUAAUUAUGAGUGUGGUGUGGCGGUUGCUCACUUCAUUUUUAAAUCAUUUAGUCAAGAAUUUGAGUUCCGCUCAAAGAAAUGGAACACUUACCAACUAUGAAUACCUUAAUUUUGACAAUUAAACAACAUUUAAGAUAGAAUCUUAUCAUUUAUUAGUAGAAUUUAUAUACCAACAGCCAUGCAGCAUUUCAUUUAUGAGUUCAUAUAAAAUCUUAGCAUUGGUGUAAUAUGAGUGUGCUAAUAGACGAUUUCAAGUUUCAACUGAUUCUAGUACUACUAAUAAUGAGGCUCGAGCUUGUUCUUAUUCCAUUUCUGAAAUAGUGGCUAGAUCUCUGUUAACCGGCUUCCUAGGUAUGGUGGCACCCAUCGUCUUCGUUGGAUCCGUCGACGCAAAAGGAUUUGGUGGCAUUGUAAGAACGUCAAGCUCUCCCUCUAACAUCUGAACCACCACUUUCAUCGAAGGACGAUCAACGGGAUACCACUGAAUGCACCAAAGUCCAACAAUCAUGAGUUUCUUUGCUAUCCCUGUUUGUGCAUCAUCUUCAAUUCGAAUCCCGAACUCCCCUCCUUUAUCCAAACGAUCAUAUGCCCAUUCUGGGAAAUACACUUGGCUUGUGUUCUCGACCGUAACAUCUAUGUUCUUUCUCCCCCCAACCAUUUCAAGCAACAGCAUUCCAAAACUAUAAACAUCAGAUUUAUAUGACACAUUUCCAAAGUUGCGAGACAGUACCUCUGGUGCAAUAUAGCCCAUGGUACCUCUAGCUGUUGUCAUUGAAAUAGCACUUUGUUCCUUGGAACACAAUUUAGCAAGGCCGAAAUCAGAGAUCUUAGGAUUGAAGUUGUGAUCAAGCAAAAUAUUGUGAGGUUUGAUGUCAAAAUGGAGGAUACGUUGCUCGCAACCUUGAUGCAGGUACUCAAUGCCUUUGGCUACACCGACAGCAAUAUCCUGAAGUUUUUCCCAACUCAGGGAUCGAUCCUUGCCCUUGGCUGAAAAUAUGAACUUCUCUAAUGACUCGUUUGGUAGGUAUUCAUAAACGAGAGCUCUGUCAUAUCCAUCGGCACAAAACCCAACCAGGCGAGUCACAUUCACAUGGUGGAUUCUGCCCAUCGAACCCACCUCGUUGAUGAACUCUUCACCAUUUCCCUUGAAAUUAUUGAGCACCUUGACAGCAACUAAAACAUCACUGGAAAGUCUGCCUUUGAAGACAGUUCCAUAGCCUCCUUGUCCCAGUUUGUCCUUGAAAUGAUUAGUUAUCCUUUUAAUAUCAGCAUAGGAGUAUCUUGAGGGUUUAAGCUCUUUAUAAUCUUCCAAAAACUUUUCAAUCUUGACUUGGCUUUCUUUCUCCUUUUUGUCUAACCGAUAUCUCCACCCAACUGCAAUGGCAAUGGUUGCAGCAAUUGAAGAACCCAACACAAUACCUGCAAAUCAGCAUACAUCCCUCUGUUAUAUCCCGUCUUAAAUUAUUGAAGCUAAAAGGGAAAUUUCAUUUACCUGCAAUCAUUAGCCUUUCUCCCAAACCUGCCAAGCAUUUAAAAUUAUUCAGCUUUGAUACAUGGGAAAUCUAAGAAAAGGGCUCACUGUAAGUUUACAACAUUAAGCUUCACGUUGAUGCAGGCUAAUGAAUUUUUUAACGUACGUUGUACAAUUAUAAUAGUUAAAACAUACCUAUAUGGUGCUUGGGGAUAUAAAAACACUCGGUUUGUUCCUUGGUGCUAUUAUUGUUGGUCAAUCUACAUCCCCUUCCUUGAGCUUCGCAAUCACCACAGUCUGGUUUAUACCAACGUAACUGAAAACGGAUACCAUAAGGAGAAAUGGGUGUUGAGAAGUUGCGAAAGUAGCUGCAAUUCAACAGGUUGAGUCCAUAAUAAUUUUCAUCAGAAGCAAAAGCUAUAAUUUAGGAGCCAGGGGUGCUUAAGCAAGCGACUCUAUAUCUUUUAUACAAAGCCUUCUCUUGGCUUAAACAUUCGAACAAGGUAUAGUUGGAUUCAGCUGGUUGGGAUCUAUAAUCUUUUAGGCCGCUGAAACCUGGUUGUUCCUCCGCGAAUGGAAAGGCAGAUAAAUUGAGAUCUAAAAGCUGCUGCCAGAGGCAACGGCCGGGAACGUAGAAGUCAAUCCGUUGAGCUUCAUAAUCUAUGUGCUUCACCAAUAGCUUCAGCGAACGUGGUAUCUUCAGCAGGGUCUGUUUGUUUUCUGAGCAGGAAAGCUGAAACCCAGGAUGAUGAUAGCCGCAGUGGGGAGACUGCUUGCCUUCUAAACGGAAGGGGAAACGGACAGGUGGAUCCUGGUGGUUGCACCGCCGCACCUUGCAGUCGUCUUGGAUUGGCACUGCUUCUGCAACAUUCACAGCUAAGAUAAAGCAGAAUAACGAGUAAAUUAACAUUGUUCUUACUAACUUGUGAGCCCCUGAAGUGAAACGGGCUUUAAAUAGUUUCAUUGACAUAGGUGGUUCAGCCCUUGAGAGUUCCAAUUAUGCACGCAACGCAGCUGCUGCUUUACUACAUAGCUUUGUCUCGUUUAACAGGGUCUUCAACUCUUCGUCCUCUCUUUGUCCUCUUUUAUGAGUAAAUGUUGGACAUGUUUGAUUGUUAGCAACCCUUUCUAACCUUGUUACUAAUUUUCUUUUAUUCCCGUUAGUUGUAGUAAAAUUUGAGGAAAAAACACUGAACAUGAGAAUGAAUACCGAUUUGCUGUUGUGAUCAUAGUGGGGUCAGCUUGACUGACUUUUGUUUUUCCACCUUCGUUUCACUACAUUUUGUUUGGUAUGACUAAGAAGUUGACUGACUUUUAUGGGUUCUUUUUAAUGUCUAUCGUUUCUUUUCUAAUGUAGGUGGUUUUUUUCUCACUUUCCUUUUUCUAAUUUAUCUUUUAUUUUUGGAUUUUAAUUAAAAAUGGCAAAACUCGAAUCAUAUGUUUUUAAAUUACUUAUUUUAGAUACAACAAAUUUUUUAAAAGUGGAUACAGGACAAAAUGAGAUGAUUUUUUUCACAUGAGUAUGAAACAAUUAUAGUCCCUAUCUCGAAAUAAUCUUUUACCUUUCUUUGUAUAUAAUUAUUAAAAUGAUAAAAAUGUAAUAAUAUAUUAUAGGAAAAAAUUCAUAUGUUUUAUAUUUAUAUUUUUAAAAAAUUAUGUUUAAAUGCUUACUUGUCUUAAAAAAAAGUAAAAUUAUUAAAAUAACUAGAAAUAAAAAUUAAAUUAAAGCAGAGCGAAACAAGGUGAGAUGGGAUGGGGAUGAAUGCUUUUAAUAUAUAUGCUGUGAUAGCGAUUUUUCAGAUUAUACAUUCCAAGUGGGGCGAGGCGGGUGGUGGAGUAAAGCAUGUCAACUGUGGAGCGAUGAUGGAUUUGACAACAUUUAACCUGUCUUGCUCCAUUGCAUGAUGCUUAAUAGGGUCUUCUUUUUUUAUUAAAUCAUCACAAUCAAUUUUGUAUUGAUACUGUUCAGAUCAACCAAAUCGAUUCAUUUAAGUAAUAAACCGAAACAAUAAAAUCUGCGGAUUAAAGCCUGUAAUCAAUGUGCACAGUAUCGCCCAAUGAGGUCAAUUGAUCAAAUGGGGCUCUUUUAACCCACUUGAAUUGGCAUGAUUAAUGGAACACAUGGAGAAGCCCAUCCACUUGAAGCAUUGGUGGCUUAGUGAAAUACUUUAGUAAAACUAGAGUUACCAUGGUGAAUAUUUGUAAUCCUAAGGGAUUAGAUUGUAUAGAGCUUAAAUCCCUUCGAACUCUCAUUUGUAGAUAGGUUUUAAUCUUGAUUGUUGAUGUAAUUUAAAUUGAGUUGUUGCAUCAGAGAGAUCUCAACUAUAAAUAAAGGUUUCCCCCUUCAUUUGCAAUCACUCAAUGUUUUUUCACUCAAAGUUACUAAAUAUAAUUGAGAGCAUUUACUCAAACAUACAUUACUUUCUUGUGGUUUCUCUAGUUCUUUCAUUGCUUCUUCACUUUUGUGUUUGCUUCCGCUAAGUUUUGGUGCCUUAGAGAAUUUCCUUGUGAUUUCUUACUUUUUGAGAUUUAGGUGGACUUAGGCGAAUUUAAAGCUAAGUUCUUGCCCAAUGUUGCACAGUUUGCCAGACUAAAGUUCUAGCCUUGUGACAGUUGGUAUCAAGAGCUAGUGAUUGGUAAGGCGUUAAUUGAGAUGGAGAAAGAAGUAAAUAAUCAAGAGCUCGUGACCGUUGGCAUCACGAACUAGUGUUUGGGUAGGAAAGCUAGUAGAUCAAGGGAUAUAUUGUUAGGUUUGGAAGGUUGAGUGACCAACUUCAAGGAAUUCAUGGGUGGCAUGAAGGAAACACUCAAAGUAGUUAAGGGACACACCACAGAGCUGGACUUAGUGAAAGAGUAACUCAAGGGAUAGGUGGCAGAGGCUCUCAGUACUAGUGUGGACGCACUGCAAGGGGUUCUCAAUACCUCUGUGGGUAAGUUGACAAAGAGAGGUGAUACUCUUAAGGACGUGGUGACAAAUUUGAAGGAACAAAUUGAAUAUUUCAAGAAGGAGCUUGUUAUCUGUAAAAUUGCUUUAGGUAAUGACGUGUUGGCUACGAUACCCAAGCCUAAGGUCGAUACCUUCAAGCCGAAAGAAUUUAAGGGGAUGAGAUCCGAAAUAGAUGUGAAUAACUUUUUAUAAGGAAUGGAAUAAAACCUUCGUGCUAGAGGCAUCAAAGAUGCUGCUACUAAGGUAAAUAUUGCAUCUAUUGUAACAGCUCGAUUUAUGGGUCUAGUCAGAGCAGUGGUUUCGGGACCACAAAUCCGAAGUUAAAAUUCUUAUUUUAUUAUUUUAAUAUCUACAGUAUGAUAUUAUUAUUGUGUAAAAAUUUCGUGAAGAAAUUUUAUCAAUUGGGUGCUUAAUUUGAUAAAAAGGACUAAAUCGCGUAAAGUGCGAAAGUUGCAUUCUAUAUGUAAAGGUGUCUAAUAGCUAUAGAAUUUUAAAUUGAAGGUCCUUAUGUGAUAAAUAACCCAUUAUUGAGAUAUUGGAUGUUAUUAGAGUGGCAUUUGGUGUAGUUAUUAGGGUUAUUAAAGGUUAAAUGAGUAAAACGACAUUAUAUGUUAAAUUAAAUAAAACAAAUUGUGUCAUCUUCUUUCACUAUCCAUCUUCACCAAAAUUUCAACCUAAAAUCAGCCAUGGGAGAGCUUGUUAUUCUGCCAAACUUUGAAGACAAAUUGGUGAGUGGUUUUUGCUUGGUUUUUAAUAAUUUCUAUAUUUUUGAUAUCGUUGCUUCGUAAUCUAGCUAACCCGUACCUCCGUUUCUAAAACUGUUAAAGAUUUUUUGAAUUUCCAUUGUUGAAUACUUGAGCUCUUUGAUAUUUUUUGAUGAAAUAUGAAUAUUUUAUGUUAGAUUUUCAUCUUUUAUAAAGUGAUUUUUGAUAAAAAUGUCAAUUAGGGAUUAAAUUGUGAAAUGUGGAAAUUUAGUGGUUAAAAUGUGAAAUAAAUUGAAAAUAUGGGCUGCUAGUGAUAUAUGGAAAAUUCAGCUAGCUUGGAUUUGUGUUUAAUUUCAUAAAAUUGUGAUUUUAUGUUAUAAGGACUAAAUUAUAAAAAUGUGAAAUUAUAGGGGUAAAAGUGUAAAUAUUCUUUAAGGUAAAUUUUGGAUUAAAUUUAAUUGAGAGAUAAUUAAAUAAGCUUAUUUUGAUUAUAUUUAGAUCGAGAAAAGUGAAAUACGGAUCUAGAUUGGGGAAAAGAUAAAGUAUCGGACCAGUCAAUUCGUUCCGUCGUUUUAGCAAUCGAGGUAAGUUCGUGUAAUCAAACUUCAGUGUAUAUUUAGGUAAUUGAUGAAUGAUAGUAUGAAUUUAUUCAUAUAAUCAAUUUAAUUAUGGAGCUUAAAUUAAACGUUCGAUAUAAGUAAAAAUGUAGGAUCAAACACAAUCGUUUCGCAACGAAAGACGAAUUGGCAGAAAAAACCAUGGUUGGACCAUGGCAUUACAUGAUUUCGUAUAAGACCAUAGCUGGGCUAUGACAUCGAUAUAUGAGACUUUGUGUAAGACCAUAUCUAGGAUAUGGCAUCGAUAUAUGUGAUUACGUGUAAGACCAUAUCUGGAACAUUGGCAUCGAUAUAUGAUUCGUGUAAGACCAUAGCUGGGCUAUUGGCACCGAUAUGUGAUAACAUGUAAGACCAUAUGUGGGAUAUGGAAUUGUAUGUGAUAUACGAGACUUUCGAGUAUCCUUAACGAUUAUGAAUGGUUCGUCACGCAAAGUUAAGACAAGAAUGAAAGUUCAAUUGAAUUAAGCAAAACAGGUACGUUCAGAACCUAUGUGAGAGUUAAAUGAAGGUAAUUUAAUGAGAAUUAUUAGUGUAUAAUUAUAUUUUAUGCCAAAAUGUGUUUAUUUGGCUAUAGUGAGGUAUGAAUUGAAUGAUAUGUGUGAUAUGAGCAAUGAUUGUGUUAAUUAUAUGAAUAUGGCACAUUGAGUGAGAAUUACAAUUAUUUAACGAUAAUUUACAUGAUUCUUUCGGCUAAAGAAAUGUGAUGAAUAAUGGAUCAAAUAAAGUUAUACAUUGUUGCUUAUGUAUUUGUAAAUGAGAAUGAAGUGAUAAGAAGUUUAAGAGGCAUACGAGCUUUGAAAGGAAUAAACUCGUGGAAAUCUUGUUUGAUCAUAUGCAUGAAUAUGAGGUAGAAUUGUGAAAUCAAAUGAGUUAUAUUAUGACUUGAUGCAAUUGCUUGUAAUGUGGUUAUUUAGUAAUAAGAGUUAUGAUAUUACAAGCUUACUAAGCUUUAUAGCUUACCUGGUGUUAUUUUUUUAUGUUUUACAGUGUUUGGGACGUUCGCUCGGGUUGGAAGUCGACAGAGAUUGCAUCACACUAUCCAGCUAAUAAUUUCGGUAUUUAUAUACUUUGUGACUUGGUUAUAUGGCAUGUAUAUGCUAUGGUUAUUUUGGUUUACUAUGGAAAGUGUAUUUGGCCAUAUGGUUUGGCUUGUUUUAAGUAUGUAUUUGAUUAUUUUGUAUAGGCUAGUUUUUAAUAUGUUUGGUUUUGAUGAUAUGUAUAUAUUCAGCCAUGCAAAAAUGGCAUGAUUAUAAUGCUAAUGGUUGUGUAAAUUUGAUCAUGGUAUAAGCACAUUUCUGUAAGUAUGUCCCUUGACAUGUAUGAAUGGUGUUCUGGUUAUAUGUCUUGGUUGAGUAAUGAUAUGAAUGACUUAUAAAUAGCUCAUUUAGUAAGCUUGAUACAUGAUUUAAUUUGUAUUUGUGAUUGGUCUUGUGAUUUGGGUUGGAAUGGUUAAGUAGGCAUAUGUGGUAUGCUUGUUUGAGUGAGUUUUUAGGUACAGCUCAUGAUGGAAAUGGUAUGAAUUUUUGGAGGCUAAUUUGAUGAUCAAAUAUAGGAUUAAAUGAUUUAGUUGUGUAUAUGAAAUUUUGGCAUGGUACAUAGUAUAUGAAAUUGGCAUGUUUAAAUUGUAACAGCCCGAUUUUGGGUCUAGUUGGAACAGUGUUUUCGGGACCACAAAUUCGACGAGGAAAAAUGUAAUGGCCUGAAUUUUUAGGGGUGUCGGAACGGUGAUUCGAGAUCACUAAAUCCAAAAAAAUGAGUAGAAAAUAUUAUUAAUUUAGUGAGUAUAAGUAAAUGUGAAGUUAAGAAAAUUUUUGAAAUAGUGAAUAGUGCACUAGAAAUAAAUAUUAAAAUAAUUAGAAUAAAAAAACGAGGUAUCGAGACCUCAGAGAUUUUAAACCGAGCCAUAAAUAUUUUUAUAAAUAUUUAUGGAGUGUUAAAAAGUUAGUAUUAAAUUUUCGUUAAGAAAUUUUAAAGUUUCGAUAAUUAAUUGAACAAAAAUGACUAAAUUGUAACAAAUGCAAAAUUAUAGGAAAUGAUUAAAUAGCUUAAAUGAUAAAAGGAAGAGGGCUUAAAAAGCAAAUAGACCCAAUGUCUGGACGUCAAAGGCAUGAAAUCAACAAGAAAGUAAGGAGAAUUAAGGGCAAAAUUGGAAUACUACAAAAUUACUUAAUAAAGCUAGGAUCAAAGUGGAAUUAUCUAGAUUUCUCUUUAUUUUUCUGCAUUCUCAUCAGCUAAAACACCAUAGAAGGGUUUCCUUAAGUUGGUUUUUCAUAUUUUUACUGCAAGUAAGUUCAAUUCUUGAUUAUUUCUUGAAAUUUUUGUGUUUUUGUGACUUUUACAACUAGGCCCACUUGUUGAAUUCAUUAGUUUUUGAUUCUAUGAAAGAAGUUGAAAGUUGCUAUGAAUAUGUGCUGGAAGUAUAUGAUGAUUUAGCAUGGAAUUAGAGCUUUAAAUUGUUUCUAUGCUGAUUUUAUUGAAAGAAUUGAAUAAAAAGUGAAUAUUUGGGACCUAAUAGUAAAAGAGUUUGAAGUUAGGGUUUUAUGAGGAAAUUCUGAAUUUCAAUAGUUAUGAAUAACUUAUAAUGUCUAAGUAAAGUACUAAUUGAGAAAAAUUAGCUUAAUUGAGGGGUUAAUUAAACAAUGACUGAAUUGUAUGAAUUGUAAAUUUUGAAAUAUAAUAAAUUUUGUGAGACAAGGUCAGAAUGAUUUCGGGUUCCCCUGUUCUGACUUUGGAAAAUCAUCAAAAAUUUAAGAAAAAUAAUUAGGGGCUUAAAUUUAUAUAUUUAAAAUCCUGAAUAAGUCUAUUUUCAAGAGAAACAAACGGAAACAUCAUCCGAAUCCCGUAAGAGGAAAUAAUUAUUUUUUAGUGAAGAAGGGUCGGAACUGUCUAAUAGUGAAACAGGGGAGAAUUUAAAGAAUAAACUGUACUUAUUGGCUAAGCCAAAAAUUCUAAAACUUUUAUGGUAAAAAUAUAUAUGAGUCUAGUUUCUGGGAAAAUUAACGGAUCUUAAUUUGGAGUUUCGUAGCUCAAGAUAUAAAUAAUUUAGUGACUCUGACUCGGAUAGACAGCUUUGAAUUUACUUAUAAGUAAAUAGUGAAAAUGUAGUUAAUGUUAUUUAAGUGUGUUAUAUACAUUAAAGAUGUGAAAUAGAGAGGAGGAGGAGGAAAAUUAGAAAAUAUAUGAAUGACUUGUGUAUAAAUCGGUCAUAUAUUCGAUCAUAAUCGAUAAAUGUUGAAUUAGAAAUGAUGUAAUGUUUUAUUUCAAAUAGUUACUAUGAGAUUGAUGAUGAUCUGACUUUAGCUAAAUUAAAAGCUAAAGCGAUAUUUUCAUUGCAAAAUUAAUAAUUUUAUAAAUGUGUUAAUGAAUAGCAUAAUCGAUAAAUUUGAGUUAAAUGGUAAAUACGUAUUAGUAUUGAACUUAAUGAUAUUGAAUUGUAUGAGAAGUAAAUGGAAAUUUCUAUUGCUAGUGAUAUGAUUUUAAUUAAAAGAAUUAUUGUGAUAUUAAAAUGUAUAUUGGAUUGAGAAAUUGAUUUGAAUUGUGAACAUGAGAAAUUAUGAAUUGAAUGAAAUGGAAAUGAAGCAUUAAAUUGUUAAGACUUGUGAAUUGCAUGAAUAUAAAUCGAGUCUCGUAGGCCCUAUUUAUUAUGAAUAUAAUAUUUAGAGGAUAUAUUGUGAAGAAUUAUAAAAGCAUGUUAAAAAUUUAAAAGUUUUAAUUUAGAUGAAAUUUUAUAAUAUGGUUAAAUACGUUUACAAGUGUAUGUGUUCUAGUAAUGCAUCACACCCUAUUCCGGCGACGGAUACGGGUAAGGGGUGUUGCAUAAAUUCAGUUAUUUUACUUAGAAAAUUACUAAAGUUAGUCGAGUAAGUAGUGUAUGGAUUGGUUAUACUUACAAUUGAGAUUCGAUCAUUUGGGUAAUGCUUGUAGGCAUUUGUAUAAUUUUGCCCAUUUUGCAGCAUAGUAUAGUUCAACUUAAGCUAGUAUGUGCAUGUACAAAGCUCAUAACUAAUAUAUUUGAUAUUAGUUAAUAUUAUGAAUUGAUAUGGCUAGUUGUGGCUUAAAUAUGCACACGUGGGAAAGCUUAUAGAAAGGAUGUAUUGUUGUAAGCUAAGUAUAUGAAAGUGACAUAUGAUUGAUACUUAUUUAGGUAUCUAAAUGCCUUAUUAUAUAGUCAUAAGGUUCGACUAAUAGAAUUAUAAUGUAUAUGUAUUAUGAUAUGAUGUUUUAUAAUAGUAAAAUAUGUUUGGUUAGUUGGUUAAGUGGUACACAUGUAUGAUUGUUAUAGAUUGAUGACCAUAUGGUUUGAAUUUGGUAAUUAUGGAACUAGUUCAAUUUGGUUUUUCGUAAGUUACCUUGAUGAAAAAUUUGAUUUGGUAAUCGGAAUGAAAUUGGUUGAAUUUUGAUAUAUGCUUUAUUUGUGAUAUAUGACUAUUAAAGUAUGAUUGAUUUGGAUUGGCUUUAUGAUUCAUAUGUUCGAAUUUAGUAUAAAUGAUUUGUGGACAUUCAAGUUUAAUAAUGUUAUAAUUGUAUCUUGAUAAUUCGGUACAUGAAAGUAAAAUAUGACUUUGAUGUAUGUUAGUUAAUAUUACUUAUUGUAUGUUUAGAAAUGAAUGACUCUCUGAGCUGUAUUUUGAUUGGUAAUGCCUCGUAACCCUAAUCUAGUGAUGGAUACGAGUUAGGGGUGUUACAUCUAUGUAUUUUAUUGAUGUCGCUCUUUUAUAGUGACAUUGUAGGUCCACAGAUGAGAAACAAGGUGGAGCCACAAUUGGGACUUGGGAGGAGUUUCAAAAAGAAUUCAAGGGGCAAUUUUACCGAGAAUAUGUCGAGGAUGAGGCUCAGGUUAAGUUGCGUCGACUUACGUAACAAGGCAUAAUCAGGGAGUAUAUGAAGGAGUUUAGUGGAUCAUGUUCUAUAUUUUUUAUUUGGGUGAGAAAAAGACAUUUUUCUCCCUUAUGGAUAGGCUGAAACCUUGGGCGGAGCAACAAUUGCAACGUCGAGCAGUCAAAGAACUUAUCAAAGCAAUGAUCGUAGCAAAGUCCUUAAUUAAGUUUGUUCCGAGGAAAGACGAGUUCAAGUCUUCCAAGACCAAUGAGACGGGUAAUGUUGUGGGAGACAAAGAAUGACAUGUUAAAAAUGACAAUGGUGAAAAUGGUGGUAAUGAGAAACUACAAAAUAAGAAGUGAAUCCGGAAGGCCCCUAUAUUAUAGGGAUUAUAUCAAAUUAGUCUCUCUAUAAAUGUACAAUUUAGUCAAAAAGAAUCAAAUAAGCCUUAAUUGUAAUAGAGUGAUCUAUCAAGUAUAGUCACCUUUUCUAAAACCAUUAGUUUGAAGUCAUUUUCAUUCUCUCUUCUUGAUAUGUCUUCUUGUUUUUUUUAAUUAUUUUGAAGGAUUAUCUUCAAUCCCAACCUUUAUUUUUUAAAUGUCUUCUUUUUGGUUAUUAUAAAAAAUCAUCUUCAAUCACAAUCAAAUUGGAAUCUUCAUUCUUUUUAAAAUUUUUGAGGUAACUAAUAGUCCUUAAACUUCUUCAAGCUUUUGUAACACCCCUUAAAUUUUACAGUAUGGUAAACAACACUAUUCUAAGAAUCACUACAAUGAAUUUUUGAGAAAAUUCAAUAAUGAGAAAAUAAAGAGAGUUUUUAGAAGGGACUAUAAUUAUUUAUUUUUGGAAAUCAAUGAAGUAAAUUUGGUAUGUGGAAUUGUGAAAAAAAUGACUAAAUUGUAAAAUUAAGAAAGUAAGAGAACUAAAGUAUAAAGUAACUAAUUUGAGAAAUUAUGGAUUGAUAAUGAUUUGUAAAUAUUAAGCCGACAUGAGACAUGUAUUAUCAAGGAAAAGCAAGUUUGGACUUAAUUGAAUAAAAUGAAAAGUAUAGGGCUCAAAUUACAAACUUCUCAUUUUGACUAGAAUAUAGGUAAAAGUAUCAUUUUCACCAUUUAUGGACUUAUUUAAGGGAUAUAUUUGAAUUUUGAUUUUUUGUUUGGAUAAGUGCUCAUUGUUGUAAAGAAAUUGUACAAAUAAACAAAAAGAAUAAUAUGAUAAGUUUGCCAUAAUCGGAUACUUUAGUCAUUUAUCAAGUACUUUACGAUGGAAAUAUUAUUUUAUUGGUAUUUUUAAUGUAUGGAAUUAAUUUGAAUUUUUAUGAUGAUAUGAGAGAAGAUAUAAAGUGUUAAGUGUCAUAUUUGGUAUUAAUUAAAGAGAAGUGAUAAGAGAAGGGACAAAGGUACAAUUUUACCAUUAAAAAUAUAUUUUGGGACUUAUCAUGAAUAUUUUAAUGAAAUUAUGGACUUUAUUUUAAUUGUGUUAUUAUGAGAAAAUUUAUGGUCAUAUAUUCCGGAUUUUUCAUUCAUGAAUCAAGGUAGAUUACUUGAGGUGAAUCUAGGGAGGCUGGCAGGGGCCCCGACCUCCCCUAAAAUGAAAAAUUGUUGUUUUAGCCUUUUAGAAAAUUUUAAAAUUUUAAAUUAAUAAAUAUAAAAUUGCACUUUUGGUGCCUCCUAAAAUUAUAAAAAUUUAAUUUAAUCCUUUAAAAAUUAUAAAGAUAUAGACUAUUAAAAAUUAAAAUUUCAUUUCGGCUCUCCCUAAUUUUUUUUUUUGGUUUCACCUAUGUAGACUACCCAUUUAAAAAUUUGUUUGACUUUGACUAAUCAAAUUAUGAUUUUUUUCCUCUCAUGUGUCGUCCCUCUCUCCUUAAGAAUUGAAAAUAUAUGUCGAAUAAUAUAAAUAUGAAAAUUGCCUCAACCUACUGCAAUUAUCUAAGGAGUAACCACUUCCUCAAGCACUCAUCUAAUUUUUCUAUAAUUUUCAGUAACUUCAAUAACUUCAAAUAUUUGUUGAGGUUUAGGAUGAAUAUUGUGAAGUGUUUUUUUAGGGAUAAUGAAUACAAAGCAAUUUAUGAGAAAAAAUGGAAUAUUACAACAAACACCUAAAAACAGAAACAAAUGUUGGCUAGAAAAUAUAAAAGUUUAAGCCAAUCGAGUCUUAGCUCGAUUGGUAUAGGUAUGUUGACAAUGCAGGAAGACGUGAGUUCGAGUGCGAUGAAAUGCAUUAUCUUCCUAUUUAUGGGUUGGGAUAGGACUAUGAGUAGUUCUAGAUAUUGUGUCAAAAAGAGCAGAUAUGAUCAGAACUUAUAAUGAGAUUGUUCAAAAAAAAGAAUUUUAUCGGGUGUUAGUAUAAGUGGCAUAAAACCAGUGAAUAGAGUUAACAAUUGAACCUGAAUUUUAAAUUUUAAAAAAUACAAGUACUAAAUUCCUAAAAAUACAAAGACCAAGUUCUUAACUUUCAAAAAGUACAAGGACUAUAACCACAUUUUAACCUUUCAUUAAUUAAAGGUUUGUCAAAGUUGAAGCUUAAUUCAAUGAUCUAUGUUAUAAAAUAUAUCUUAACCCGGCCACCUUAAGCUUUUAUUAUGGUCUAUUAAUUUAUGUUCACGACCACCUUCAACUUUUUUAUGAUCCACUAAUUUACAAUCAUAAACUUAGACUUUCUUACAGUCUAUUGAUUUAUGAUCAUGACCUUUUACUUACGAGAUUUUAUUAAUCUCACGGUCCGCUAAUUUACGAUCAUGACAUUUUACUUACAAGAUUUUAUGAAUCUCGCAAUUAGCUGAUUUACGAUCACAAAAUUUAACUUUCUUAUAAUCCACUAAUUUACAAUCACAACAUUUUACUUACAAUUUGCAAUAGUCAAUAAAUUUUCGAGUUCAAACUUGCUUGGUAAACCCUUAGUUACAUGUAUGCGUGUAAAUUUAUCUCCAAAGACUCAAUUUAUAACUCUACUUCAAUAAGUUAGGAGACAAAUUGUUAUAAAAUAAUCUUAACCUGACCCAAGAUCCAAUUCAAAAUCCAAGCCGGAAGAAACCACCUUAUAUACAUUUCUAAAUACCCUCUUAAGAAUACCGACUCGAGAGAAUAUCUUUUAUCUUCCUCUUCACCCUAACAUAUUUUUUCUCCCUACCCCACCCAACCAGAAACUGUAACAACAAUCUAUAUUGUAAACUGGGAAUAUCAAAUUGCUCUAAUCAUGCAAAUAAGUUGUUAGUUUUAGUUGCCUUAAAACAACUUUUGUACCGAUAUUUAUAAAUUUAUUUAUAUUUUAUCUAUAAUAUACCAACAGAACUUUAUGGUGUUCAAGUAAAAGCACCAAGAAAAAUGCAAUCAAAUGUCUGACCCAACUCCAUCCCCAACCAGUGGUUAAACCAAAUCCUUCAGUUAGCAAUUCCAGAUUCAGACAAAACACACGACUGUGCUACGUCUUUCCUAACUCGACCACAAUCACACUAAUGUUGUCUUUGCUACCCCUAGACAUUGCGAGUUCAACCAACACCGCCGCUGCUUCAGAAGCGCGGUUUUGAUUCAAAACAUCAGCUGUUUUGCUCCUUAUUUGGCCGUUCAGACAUCGCCUUACCACUCGACACGCCACCUCAUUCGAUACCACAUCCCAAAGUCCGUCACUAGCCAGUAUCAGGAACUCGUCACCAUUCGUUACCUCUCGUACGGUCACUUCCGGUUUGCAUAUCACAAAGGGUUUGAGGUACUGAUUACCUGCUUGCAUUCCAUUCCAAAUUACAUUACAUAUGAAUAGAAUAUUAUGUACGUAAUUGCAAAUAUAUUUGGUUACCUAUGGAUCUUGAAGUGGCCAGUACUCCAAGCACUCGAUAUCCAUUCCAGUUUAUGACCCUUCCACCAGCAGCUUCAACUCUCUCCAACUCAUCAGGCCUGUCGGGCUUUGCAAAAACAAAGUGUCAACAUGGGAGGCCACCACCACUACCUGCCCCUUUAUCUUCGUCCUUAAGCUCAGUAUAAUAUGCUAUUGAAUAAUUUUUUUUUUCAUUCCAAUAAAAUCCGUAGGACCAAGUUCUAUACUUAUAAAAGCUGUACAUCGCAAUAAUAACAGUUUGGAAGGAGCGACAAUAGAUAGUAUAUAAACAUAAUGAUUAAGCAUGCAUCAAUAUAGGUCAAAGUAGAGGCAAAGAAAACAAGUGUAAAGAAAAAGGGGGCAAAUUGAAAGAGUUGUAAAGUUAAAUUAGUAUAUAAAUAUAAGCAUCAUCCUUGAUUACCCUAAAGGGAUGGCGAGCUUAAUCCUCUUAUUGCUAAUUAGACAUUAUUUGUGGAAAACGAAGAGCUUCAGUCUAGCUUUGAGAUUCAGAUACUUCCACUCAUUUCCCAUAUAUAUGAAGUUACACCUCCAUCGAAUUGAAGAUUUCAUGGUUUCAUAGUUUCCAAUUAAAUCUUUAAGAAUAUUCAACAGGUUGAGUCCAUAAUAAUUUUCAUCAGAAGCAAAAGCUAUAAUUUGGGAGCCAGGGGUGCUUAAGCAAGCGACUCUAUAUCUUUUAUACAAAGCCUUCUCUUGGCUUAAACAUUCGAACAAGGUAUAGUUGGAUUCAGCUGGUUGGGAUCUAUAAUCUUUUAGGCCGCUGAAACUUGGUUGUUCCUCCGCGAAUGGAAAGGCAGAUAAAUUGAGAUCUAAAAGCUGCUGCCAGAGGCAACGGCCGGGAACGUAGAAGUCAAUCCGUUGAGCUUCAUAAUCUAUGUGCUUCACCAAUAGCUUCAGCGAACGUGGUAUCUUCAGCAGGGUCUGUUUGUUUUCUGAGCAGGAAAGCUGAAACCCAGGAUGAGGAUAGCCGCAGUGGGGAGACUGCUGGCCUUCUAAACGGAAGGGGAAACGGACAGGUGGAUCCUGGUGGUUGCACCGCCGCACCUUGCAGUCGUCUUGGAUUGGCACUGCUUCUGCAACAUUCACAGCUAAGAUAAAGCAGAAUAACGAGUAAAUUAACAUUGUUCUUACUAACUUGUGAGCCCCUGAAGUGAAACGGGCUUUAAAUAGUUUCAUUGACAUAGGUGGUUCAGCCCUUGAGAGUUCCAAUUAUGCACGCAACGCAGCUGCUGCUUUACUACAUAGCUUUGUCUCGUUUAACAGGGUCUUCAACUCUUCGUCCUCUCUUUGUCCUCUUUUAUGAGUAAAUGUUGGACAUGUUUGAUUGUUAGCAACCCUUUCUAACCUUGUUACUAAUUUUCUUUUAUUCCCGUUAGUUGUAGUAAAAUUUGAGGAAAAAACACUGAACAUGAGAAUGACUACCGAUUUGCUGUUGUGAUCAUAGUGGGGUCAGCUUGACUGACUUUUGUUUUUCCACCUUCGUUUCACUACAUUUUGUUUGGUAUGACUAAGAAGUUGACUGACUUUUAUGGGUUCUUUUUAAUGUCUAUCGUUUCCUUUCCAAUGUAGGUGGUUUUUUUAUCACUUUCUUUUUUUUCUAAUUUAUCUUUUAUUUUUGGAUUUUAAUUAAAAAUGGCAAAACUCGAAUCAUAUGUUUUUAAAUUACUUCUUUUAGAUACAACAAAUUUUUUAGAAGUGGAUACAAGACAAUGAGAUGAUUUUUUCCACAUGAGUAUGAAACAAUUAUAGGCAUUGUUUGCUCUACUCACCUUAUCUCGAAAUAAUCUUUUACCUUUCUUUGUAUAUAAUUAUUAAAAUGAUAAAAAUGUAAUAAUAUAUUAUAGGAAAAAUUCAUAUGUUUUAUAUUUAUAUUUUUAAAAAAUUAUGUUUAAAUAUUUUCUUGUCUUAAAAAAAGUAAAAUUAUUAAAAUAACUAGAAAUAAAAAUUAAAUUAAAGUAGAGCGAAGAAAGGUGAGAUGGGAUGGGGAUGAAUGCUUCUAAUAUCUAUGCGGUUAUAGUAAUUUUUCAGAUUAUACAUCCAAAGUGGAGAGAGGUGGGUGGUGGAGUAAAGCAUGUCAACUGUGGAGCGAUGAUGGAUUUGACAACAUUUAACCUGUCUUGCUCCAUUGCAUAAUGCUUAAUAGUAUGCCUUCUUUUUUUAUUAAAUCAUUACAAUCAAUUUUGAAUUGAUACUGUUCAGAUAAACCAAAUAGUUUCAUUUAAGUGAUAAAUCGAAACAAUAAAAUCUGUGGAUCAAAGUCUAUAAUCAAUGUGCAUAGUAUCGCCCAAUUGAUCAAAUAGGACUCUUUUAACCCUUUUAAAUUGGCAUGAGUCAUAGAACACAUGGAGAAGCCCAUCCACUUGAAGCAUUGGUGGCUCAGUGAAAUACUCCGGUAAAACUAGAGUUACCAUGGUGAAUAUUUGUAAUCCUAAGGGAUUAAAUUAUUAACUUAAUUGCAGAAAUACCAAAAUUCAAGAAUAUUUUAGUAAUUUUCUAUUUUCCUCGAAUUUCCACCCAAUCUUGAUCUAAAUUGAUAUUUCAUUCAAUUUAUUAACUUAAAUAAUAAAACAAUUCAUUUCAUGCAAUUUGGUCACUUUUUGACAUUUUUACCAAUUUACCCUUAAAAUAUUAUUUUUAUUCAAUUUAGUCCUUGAACCUAAAACAUGCAAAUUGGUUAUUUUUAAUUAAAACUCAUGCUAGUUGAACAAUCAUUUAUUUUCCUCCUCCUCCUCUCCAUUCCACAUCCUUAAUGUAUAAUAUGCUUAUAUGUAACAUUUCUAUAAUUCCACCAUUUAUUUAUAUAUUAAUUCAAAGCUAUCAACUUGAGUCAUAGUCACUAAAUCAUUUAUAUCUUUAGCUACGGAACUCCGAAUUAAGAUCCGCUAAAUUCCUAUGAAACUAGACUCGUAUAUCUUCUUACCAUAAAAUUUUAAGAAUUUUUGGUUUAGCCAAUAAGUACAGUUUAUUUUUUAAAUUUUUUCCUAUUUCACUGUUUGACAGUUCUGAACCCUCUUGACUAAAAAUUAAUUAUCUCUUUUUACAGAAUUUGGAUGAUAUUUCCGUUUUUUUCUAUUGAAAAUGGAACCAUUAAUUAUUUUAAAAAUAUAAAUUUAAGCCUAUAAUUAUUUUUAUUCAAUUUUUUAUGAUUUUUCAAAUUCAAAAUAGGGGAACCCGAAUUCAUUCUGACCUUGUCUCACAAAAUUUAUUAUAUCUCAUGAUUUACAAUUCCAUUACUUACACCGUUUAUUCUAUGAGAAACUACACUUAAUAAGCUUUAAUUCCAUGUUUUUUUCAUCCUAUAAUUCGAUUUCCAAAAUUUAUGGUGAUUUUUCAAAUUUAACCUACUGCUGCUGUCCAAAACUGUUUUAGUGCAAGAUGUUGAUUACUAAGUUUAUAACUCCCUUAUUCCCUUUCUCUAUAAUAUUUCCCAUCAUUUUCACUUAUUUCCCUUCACUAAUAUAUCAAGAACAUAAGACUUUAUUUAAGAAAACUCUACUAUAACAUCAUUUCCAUACUUUUUCAACAAUAACAAACUUAAAAAUAUAUUGAAAUCUUGAAGUUCUUACCUUGUGCUAUUGAUUUCAAUCUUUAACUUGAUUUUCUCUCUCCUCCAGCUUCUUUUUCUUGAAUCUAACUUGACAUUCUAGCUCCCCAUUGUCUCUUUAUUAUUUUUCUCUCUUGGAAGCUAUGGAAAUUCUUUUGUUUUCUAGGUGAAAAUAGUGAAUUUUUGGUGAAAGGACCAAAUUGUAAAGAAAGAAAAACUUUCUUUCUUCUCUUCUCUUCUAACGUUGGUUGCAUGGAAAGAUGAUGAUUUUUCAUCAUCUUUCCUCCCUUUUAUAUUAAUCAUCUAAUAAUAAAAUAAUACUAAAAAUCUUAAUAAAAUAUUAAUUAAAUAACAUUUAUCUAAUUAAUUAAUUAAAAAUAUCACAAACAUCAUCAUUACCUUCUAGAAUUCUCUCUCUAUUUGACCAUUUUGCCCUUUAUAAUCUUUUGAAAUUUCAUUCUUGAGUCAUCACUUAAUUUGGAAAAGUUACAAUUUAGUCCCUCAAAGUUCCUCACUUUUUCAAUUUGGUCCUAAUUCAUCCAUUUUCCUUAGUUUCUAGAUUAUUCCACCCUUAAAAUAUUUACACUAUUUGUCCUUCAAAUUUUUCAUAUUUACACUUCAACCCCUUAAAUUUUGAGUAUUUACUCUUGGGCAACAAAACUUUUCUCACGUUUGCAAUUUAAUCCUUUAUUGAAUUAAUAUAUCAUAAUAUACUUCCCAAUGUUGACAUAACUCAAUAUUACCUUUUUUAUCACUUUAUUUCCUUAUUUUACUAUAUCAAUGAUAUUAUCUUACUUUAUUACUGUAGUAAAUUUCGGGGUAUUACACAGGGAGUAUAUGAAGGAGUUCAGUGGAUCAUGUUCCAUAUUUUUUAAUUGGGUGAGAAAGAGACAUUUUUCUCCCUUAUAGAUAGGUUGAAACCUUGGGCGAAGCAACAUUUGCAACGUCGAGGGGUCAAAGAUCUUACCAAAGCAAUGAUCGUGGUGGAGUCCUUAAUUAAGCUUGUUCCAAGGAAAGAAAAGUUUGAGUCUUCCAAGACCAAUGAGAUGGGUAUUGUUGUGGGAGACGAAGAAGGACAUGUUAAAAAUGACAAUGGUGAAAAUGGUGGUAAUGAGAAACUGCAUAAUGAGAACUGAAUCUAGGAGGCCCUUGUAUUAUAGGGAUUAGAUCAAAUUAGUCUCUCUAAAAAUGUACAAUAUAGCCAAAAAGAAUCAAAUAAGUCUUAAUUGUAAUAGAGUGAUCUAUACAGUCACCUUUUCUAAAACCAUUAGUUUGAAGUCAUUUAAUUAUUCUGAAGGAUUAUCUUCAAUCCCAACCUUUUUUAUUUUGAAAUGUCUUUUUUUUUGUUAUUAGAAAAUUCAUCUUUAAUCACAAUCAAAUUGGAAUAUUCAUUCUUUUUAAAACUUUGAGGUAAUUAAUAGUCCUUAAACUUCUUCAAGCAUUUGUAACACCCCUUAAAUUUUACAGUAUGGUAAACAACAUUAUUCUAAGAAUCACUACAAUGAAUUUUUGAGAAAAUUCAAUAAUGAGAAAGUAAAGAGAAUUUUUAGAAGGGACUAUAAUUAUUUAUUUUUGGAAAUCAAUGAAGUAAAUUUGGUAUGUGGAAUUGUGAAAAAAAUGACUAAAUUGUAAAAUUAGGAAAGUUUGAGAACUAAAGUAUAAAGUAACUAAUUUGAGAAAUUAUGGAUUGAUAAUGAUUUGUAAAUAUUAAGCCGACAUGAGACAUGUAUUAUCAAGGAAAAGCAAGUUUGGACUUAAUUGAAUAAAAUGAAAAGUAUAGUGCUCAAAUUACAUAUUUCCCAUUUUGACUAGAAUAUAGGUAAAAGUAUCAUUUUCACCAUUUAUGGACUUAAAGGGAUAUAUUUGAAAUUUGCUUUUUUUUUGGAUAAGUGCUCAUUGUUGUGAAGAAAUUGUACAAAUAAACAAAAAGAAUAAUAUGAUAAGUUUGCCAUAAUCGGAUACUUUAGUCAUUUAUCAAGUACUUUAUGUUGGAAGUAUUAUUUUAUUGAUAUUUUUAAUGCAUGGAAUUAAUUUGGAUUUUGAUGAUGAUAUGAGAAGAUAUAAAGCAUUAAGUGUCAUAUUUGGUAUUAAUUAAAGAGAAGUGAUAUAAUAGAAGGGACAAAAGGUACAAUUUUGCCAUUAAAAAUAUAUUUCUUGACUUAUCAUGAAUAUUUUAAUAAAAAUUAUGGACUUUAUUUUAAUUGUGUUAUUAUGAGAAAAUUUAUGGUCAUAUAUUUUAAAUUUUUUGUUCAUGAAACAAAGUGGACUACCAGAGGUGAAUCUAGGGGGGCUGGCAGAGGUCUUGACCUCCCUUAAAAUGGAAAAUUAUUGUUUUGGGCCUUUAGAAAAUUUUAAAAUUUUAAAUUAGUAAAUAUAAAAUUACACUUUUGUCCCCCUAAAAUUAUGAAAAUUUAAUUUAAUCCUUUAAAAAUUAUAAAGAUAUAGACUAUUAAAAACUAAAAUUUCAUUUCGGCUCCCCCUAAAAAUUUUUUUUGGCUUCACCCCUGUGGACUACCCAUUUAAAAAUUUGUUUGACUUUUGACUAAUCAAAUUGUGAUUUUUUUCCUCUCAUGUGCCGUCCCUCUCUCCUUAAGAAUUGAAAAUAUUUGUCGAAUAAUAAUAGAAAUAACAAAUCCUUCUUCGAGAUGUCCAGUGAUUUCUGUGUUCUUUUUUUUUAAUGAGAUAAAGGAAUUAAUCAAGAUGUGUGUGCAAGAAAUUGAAGAAUUUGGAAACAAGUGUAGAAGAAUUUUAGGAACAUUGUGGAGUAUUCAAUGAAAUUCUCAAGAGAAAAGAUAGACAUAUAUUGCCAAUCCAAUAAAAGUAAAAUGAGAUUCCGAAAAUGUUUAAUAAUGAAUCAUUUGUAAAGGAUGAAAGUGAAGUGAGAUUAUCUUGAAGUAGACAUUACGGAGGAAAUAGUACUCAUUAAAGCUAGAAAAAAAAAGUUAAGUGUUGAUCGUUGACACUAAGAAAGUGUAUCACAAAGGAAGUGCGAAGAAGAGAUACAAGUAUUCGAAGAUGGUAAUAAAGACUUACGAGGAUUGGAAAGUGAUAAUUAAUGGAAACCAUAUAAGAGAGGUGAAAUAUAACAUUCUAAAGCUUGACCUAGAAACCUAAUCGAAUUUGGAGUGUUAUUGUGGUCAUCAGAGCAACCUGCAUGAUCAAUCGUUCAUUCAAUCACAUUAAAAUAUAAAAAAAUUAGACAUACACACAACAAGUCAUUUAACAAAACUUAAUCAUAUAAUCAUUGAGUUCCUAAAUCAAAAUCAAAACACCCAAACUGACCAAUUAGCAAAUCCUAAGUACAUGUCAAACUAUACUAUUUCAAGGGUUUUUACAAAAUAAGAAUUGCGGAGACUCUGAGGCGAUGUCUGCUCUGACUCAAACUCACAAACUAUUUGAUCCAAAUAUUACCUAUGCACGGAAUUAAUAACCCGUACAUCGGGCUUUUCAGAGCUUGGUGGAGACCAAAACAGUCUAAACUACUAAUGCAUAUAAUUGAAAAUAAAAACAUUUUAAUCAAAUACAACUAUAUAUAUAUGCAAUAAUUCGAGGAGUGAAAGUCACACUCAAUAAAAAUUGUCAGAGACGCAAUACAAUCAUGAAUCAGUCACAAAAUAACAUUUAUGUAAUAGCCCAAUUUUGACCUUAAUCGGAUAUAGUGGUUUCGAAACCAUGAAUUCGAGUCAGAAAAAUAUUUUUUAUAUUAUUUUUAGUGUUUAUUAUAUUUUAAGUUAUAGGUGUGAAAAAUUCGUGUGGAAAUUUUAUUGUUUAAAGGUUCAAUUUGAUAAAAAAUGAUUUAAUCGCGUAAAAUAAAAAUUUAGAGGUUAAAUUUUAAAAGCACUUAUUUGUUGUUGUCUUUUUAAGUGGGAGGUCUAGAGAUGUAAUUAGACCAAAAUAUAGUUAGUGGAUGACAUAUGACAACAUUGUCCCUUACAUAUAUGUUUUAUAUAUUUAUUAUAAUAAGGUUAAUUAAGUAAUUUAAUAAUUAUAAUGUAUAAAUGUUAAAAUAAACUAAGAAAAGAUGAUUUUUAUCAUCUUUGAAAGCCGAAUGUGUAAGAGAACUCAUGCAUGGUUUCUUGUUGAAUGUUCGGCACUUUUAAAGACAAAUUAAGGUAUGGGUUGGUUUCAGUUUUUGAUAAUUUUUACGUUUUUGAGAUCGUUGUUUCGAAUACUAUCCGACCCAUGUUUGAAUUUUUAAUUUUGAUGAAUAUUUUGAGUUGUGCCAUUGAUGAACAUUUGUGUUAUGUGAUGUUUGAUGAUGAAUAAUGAAAGAUACAUUUUAGAUUAAUAUGUUUUGUAUUGGAAGUUUUGGUGAAAUUGAGUAAUUAGAGUUAAAUUGUGAAAUUAAAUUUUUGAGGGAUUAAAAUGUGAAAUAAAUGAAAUGUGAGGAUUGGUAUGAACAAUAGGUACAUUCGGCCCUUAAGGAGUGUAGUCAAAAUUUGUGUAUUUUGUGUUUUGAGCAAAAAGGAUUAAAUUGUAAAAAGUGUGAAAUGUUAGGGGCAAAAUUGUAAUUUGCCCAUAUAUAUGUUCUUAGACUAAUUGAAUGAAAAAAAAAUGUUUAAAUGAGAUUUUUUUGAAUAUGUUUAGAUCAAGAAACCAAGAAAUCGAAUUUAGAUCGGGGGAAAUCGAAAGUAGUUGAGUAGCCGAUCUAUUAGUCGACGACAUCCGAGGUAAGUUAUUAAGCAUAUAUAUAUAAUUGUGUAUUUUUAAAAUCAGCUUAGUAUUUAUGUAAUUAUGCUGAAUUGAAUGAUAUAUAAAUAUACAUGUAGUGAUAAAAUUAUUGAAAUAAGAUAUAUUGAGUUGUUGACUUUUGACACUAAGUGUGCGAAUUUAAUUGUAAAGCACUAAUUGUGCAAGUUUAAUUGAAAAGCACUAAGUGUGCGAGUUUAAUGGUAAAGCACUAAGUGUGCGAACUUAUUAAAUAUUUUCGAAUAACUAUUAGCAUUGAGUAUUUGUUUUUUUUUUUUUUGAGAAAUUAUGAUUAGUAAAAUGAGUAAAUACUUGGAAUUUUUGUGGUUGUAUUUAAGGUUAAGCUUUGUAGGUAUUAAACCUAUGUGGUGAUUAUAUUUGGAAUUAUAUAUAUAUAUAAUAUGAUUCUUUAUAUUACAUGGUGAGGAACUGCAUAAUGUAUUUGGUCUUGUGAUUAAAUUUGAAGAAAUGUUUAUGGUUAUGUAAUUAUAUUGAUUUAGUUAAAUCAUAGUAAUAAGUGAAUAAUUAUCUUAUGAUAUGGUAAGCUAAAGGUAAGAUGAUUUAGUAGUAUGAAUUGGUUGAAUAUUAUUUAAGAUAUCGGUUUAAAUAGUAGAGUUUAUUUGCUUAUAACUUACUAAGCUAAAUUAGCUUACAAUGUGUUGGAUAAUUGUUUUUUUUUUAUGUAUAGAUUUUGGUGAUUGCUACGUGUUCGGGGAUCGUCAGCUAAGUUCGUCACACUAUCGAUAUUUUCUUUUGGUACUUUACUAAAUCGUUUUCAAAUAUAUGGCAUGUAUAGCAUAGUUAAAAUAUUGAAUUUGGAACUAAUGUGUAUAUGUAUUUAAAAGCCAUGCGAAAGAGGCUUAUAUAUAUUUUUUUUUUUGGACUUGAAUUUGGUUUGGAUGCAUGUGUUUAAUGAUUAUGAGUGUGGUAUAUGCUUAUGGUAUUAUUAUAUGGAGGGAUUAUUUGUUCUUGGUAUAUAUAUAUAUUGGGCUACAAUGGAAUUAAUGAAUAGUUAAUUAAAGUUAGUUGCAAGAUGUGUACACGUAUGGUUGUGUAAAAAAAUGUGGAUUUCUAACUUAAAAAUGUGUGAGAGUAGAUAUUAAUAAGCAUGCUAUAUAUAUAUAUAUAUAUAUUCAUAUAUGUGCAUGGUAUGUUUGAUUUUGGUAUGUUAAGGGUUUGGCAUUGUAUAUAGGUAAUGACUUAAAAUAAGUCUAGUUCAUGACUAGCUGCUUAUUAAAUUAUGUUUAUAAUAAUUCGGUCUUAACUUAGCUCUGCUUUGAAAUUAUGUGAUAUGAUUUGAAUGGUUAUGUUUAAUUUGAUUUUAUAUGUGACUAUAAGAUUCGGCCAUGAUGUAAUAUUAUUAUGUAUGUAUGUAUAUAUAUAUAUAUAUUCAUUUGAUUAGUAAUAGAUAUACUUAUUAAUGCCGCAUAUGAAAUAGAGGAUAGGUUUUGUAACAUAUUUUGUUUAGUCCAUUAAGUACAUGUUUAUUAAUAAGCAUAAAGAUGAUAAAAAAAAUCAUUAUAUAUAUUUUUUAUACCAUUUUAAUGAUAAACACACGAUUCGUGUAUUUAUUUUGAAGCAUAAGUUGUAUGGAUUUAAGGCAUGAUUUUUUUUAAGGUGUAAAUAUGAUUAUAUUCAUGAGAUACUAUAUUUGUUUUGUGAUUAAUAAUGUAUGUAUAAUUUGUAAUUAGUCUCUUUUUUUUCAGUAAUACCUCAUAACCCUAAUCUGGCGACGGACACGGGUUAGGCGUGUUACAAUUUAAAAUAACAAUAAAACAAUAUAAGACAUUCAAUAAAUAUCGAUGGUGUUUUGAUUCAAUGUUCAAGUUCAUUAAAUAAUUUUUCUCAAAUAACACAAGAAGGAAAGAUAUUCGAACACACGAGUGUCCAACCAAACACCAAAUGAUCAAUGAAAUUAGUGCAAGUGCCAACAAUAACAAUAUUCCAUUGGGAGAUAAUGCAACUUAGUCUAUAAUCAACCAUCACACUAAAUGCACAAAACGCAACAAUGACAAUGCUCCUGAAUGCUUAAGACAGUUCCACAAUAAACAAUGAUGGAGAUUCCUCCACCUUACGAGAUGUGGCUUAUACCAAAACAUUUCAAUUAUUAAAAUAGUAAUUAACAAUGAUUUUCGGAACAUAACCAAUUAAUAAAAAUAACAUUUUAAAAAUAGUAACCAUAAUUAAAAUCAAUUUAAUAAACUGCCACACAAGUAAAAAUUCAUAUGCAAGGAAUCAAAAUAUCAGUCCACUAAGCCAAUAAUUUAAUUGCAACAUUAACAUAAUUUAAAACGUAACGAUUACAAACUAAUUUUUUAAAUGUUGGUUGCUUAGGAUCACAUGCACUAUAAACGUAAGGACCACCGUUGAAAGCCAUGCAAAAAUCUACAAUUUUAUAUUUAUAUGUGUAUAUAUACACAUAUACAUAUACACGUAAACACUAUAAAUCAUGCCAACCAUUAACAAAGCCAUGCAAAUAUUUAUAUUUAUAUAUUUCAUAUAUUUAUACAUUCACAUGCACAUAACUAAAUACGACAUCAUGCAAAUAUAGUUAUGUACAGAAUAUUGAUAUAUUAUCUCAUUAAUUUUAAAAAUAAACAACACCAAAAGACCAAGCUUUACACUACUCACACGACAUAACAUUGGUUUCACGAAUCCUCAAAGCACUACUCCCUCUGGGCUUUCUACGAUUUAACAGCAACCUGCUUUGUCUUUAUUUGGUUGUGGCUUCUAUGCAGAUUAGACGAGAGGCUUCAAUGGAUGAUAUAAAAGAGGUGGUGUUGGUCAGUGGUGGGCAGAGGUGGCCUGAUGUCGGUGCAAGGAGAUCAACGGUUAGGACCAGGGUGACUGUGGAGCGAUGAGAUGUUGGGGCGACGGAAGAACUCACGAUGGCGAUGAGAGGGCGGACAAUGGUGCAUUGAUGGAGAUGACUCCAAGGCAGCGUGAUGAAAGGGAGGGACGACUUGGGGCAGUUGGCUGACGGUGUGGCGACUAAGAGGAUCGGUGCUUAGUGAUGGAAUGAAGGAGACAAUGCCUGACGUUGGGGAGUGAAAGGUGGUAAUCAGUCUUUUAUUAGGGGUAGAAUUCUACAAAAGAAGGGUUUUGAUAGUAGGAAAGUUUGACCAAAUGUGUAUUCUUUCUUAGUUGUAACUCUGAAACCUAAUUGAUGAUGAUGAUGAUGAUGAUGAUAGAGCACACACGCCCAGGCCACCACUCUGUCAACUAAGUUGUUUAAGGGCUAAUUCCAAUAUUUGUCCCCAAUUAAUUGCUGAGGUUUCAAUUUAAUCCAUAAAUCAAGAUCAAAAUUCAAUUAGUCUUAAAAUUAAACUAAAAAAUCAAAUAAGUUCAUAAUACACAAAAAAUCACUAAAAAUAUAAAUUUUAUCCUAAUGUUCCAAAAUUCCGAAAAUAUAUUUAUCGAACUUAUCUCGAUUUUGUGUGAAAUCAUAGUUGGAAAUUUUGGAGUGUUUCACGAAAUUAUCCAUCAAAGUGCCUUAAGAAGUAGUAGUCGAGUAGUGCGUUGUUAAAAGUUCCUAGAAAGAUGUUAACAUUGGAUAUUAAAUGAGCAUCGUGGAUGGAAAAGAGGACAUCAAAAUACGAGUAUAGAGAUUUGUAGCUUGCUACCAGAGGCAAAGCUAGUUGCUGGUAGGGCUUGACCUCCCUUUAAAUGGAAUAAUUUCAUUUAUACUCUUAUAUAGUUUAUAAAAUUUUAAAUUAGUAAUAAAAAAAUUUAUACUUUGACCUCCUUUAAAAAUUAUAAAGAUAUUAUAAAAAUAUAUAAUUUAAUUUCACCCCUAAAACAAAUUUUUGGUUUCCCGGAUUAUAGAAAAGCUAUAAUCGUGUUAUGAAGUGAUAAUGGGUAAAUAAGUAUAAGAGAAAUGAGUUGAAAAGUAGGAAGAGAGAAGUAUGUAUUUGGUAUUGAGAUCAUAUGAGUUGGGAAGUUAAAUCGUGGGUUGACGUGAACGGAUAAGGCACGCAUUGGAUGUGUGGGAAGAGAUUUAAGUCAAGAAGAAAAGUGACAGUAAUUUGAAGUAAACAAUGAAGGUUAUGCACAUGCUCAAAAGGAAAAGUUAUGAUCAUUUGAUGGGGAUGAGUCAAGAUAAGAUAGCCAAUUAAAGGUGCAAAAUUAACCCAAGUUGAGAUGAAUAUGGUGAAUAUAAGCUUGUUAACCCAAGUUGAGUGACAUGUCAAGUUAUAACAAUCAAGUGAAAAUGAUUGAUGUGGUAUAUUAAAAUUAUAUGUUAGUGACAUAUAUGGUAUGGAAGACAUUAGAAGAUAAGAAACUUAUGAUUCGUGCUAAGGUUAAGAUUUAUAGAUAUUUGAUGAAUCAAAGGACAUCUUGUGCAAUGUGAAAGAUAAAGAGGGAAAUUUAUUUAGGGUUCAACAUUUAAGUGAAGCAAAUUAUAAGGUUGUGAAAACCGUUAAAAGGAUAAAAUGUAAAUUUUAGAAUAUAAAAAAAUUAAAUUGAAUUAAUGGAAAAAAAAAUGACAAAGAGGUAAUUUUUACUUAAUUUACUUUACUGAAAGUAAAUGGAUAAUUAUGGAAUUAGAGAAUAAAGAAAAUUGGGGAAAAAAGAAGGAGGAGGAGGAGAAGUGUUGUCAUGAUUAUGACCCUUGGAUAUUAUGGAAGAGGUGAAGAAAUAAUUGCAAUUGGAUAUUAAUUAUGAUGAUGGGAUUUUUAUUAAUGUUUUAAUUAUAUUAAUUGCUAUAUGGCCGUGUGUCAAGCCAUGUGGCUCAAAUGAACGUGUGGAAGAGGUCAGUCUAUGUGGCUCCUGUACUUGUUCUGAUUUUCGAUUCUUGAUAAGUGUCAAAAGUAACAUAUUUUAAUCUCAUUCUUAAUUCAUUUUUAGAUGAUUAAUCAAUGCAAAACGGUAAAAUUUAUGCUCAUAAUCCUUUAAAUUCAUAUUUCUAUACUUAUAAGAGCAUUUGAGAGAAAAAUUAGUGAAAACGAAGCGAAAAUCAAAAAAUUGGAGCAGAUUUCAAGAGCCACACGAGUUGGACACAUGGUCAUGUGAGCCACACGGGCUGCCACACGGCCAUGUGCCAGAUAGAGACACAUGGUCAUGUGAGCCACACGCCAUGUGCCAGAUAGAGGUGCUCAUGGGCCGGGCCCGGCCGGGUUCGGGCCGGGCCCAUAAAAAAUUUCGGCCCGGGUCCUAGGCCCGGCCCGACCCGGCCCGAAAUAUGGGCCUAAGAUUUUGCCCAGGCCCGGCCCGGGAAAAAAAUCAUAAGCCCGGGCCCGGCCCGUCCCAUUUUUAUUUUAAAAAUUUUAAAAAAAUUAAAAAAAGUAUUUUAAAAAUAUUUUAAAAUUAAAAAAAAAUUAAAAAAGUAUUUUGAAAAUAUUUUAAAAUUAAAAAAUUUUUAAAAAGUAUUUUAAAAAUAUUUUAAAAUUAAAAAAGUAUGUAAAAAAUAUUUUAAAAUAAAAAAAAAUAUUUAUUAUAUCGGGCAGGGCCGGGCCCGGGCCGAAAAAGUGGUGCCCGAGGCCCGGCCCAUUUUCUAAACGGGCCUCGUUUUUUUGCCCAAGCCCAUAUUUCGGGCCUAUAUUUUUACCCAAAUCCUCUCAUAUUUCGGGCGGGCCGUCGGGCCGAGCCGGGCCACCCGGCCCAUGAGCACCUCUAGUGCCAGACCGUGUGGAUUUCGCAUUUCACACUCCAAAUAUGUGGAAUCACGCAAUUUUUAAGUUUUUCGGGCAUUCUUAGACCUAUAUAUACCAAAUAUAUGGAGAGAAGUAAGAGCCGUCAGAGAAUAUUGAAGAAAACAACUCAAAAGACAUCAUUGAAGUCGACUUUGAAACAAAUUUCUACUAAGAUUGAAGAUCUCCUUUUGAUUUCUUUGAAGUUUAUUAUGAGUUUUUUUAUUUCUUGUGGUUAUACUGUCUUUGAGAUGUUUUUACUCUCGAUUAUGAACUAAUUUUCUAAAGAUGAACCUUAUGACAAAUUUUGUCUUUUGACUUCUAUUUUAUGCAAUGAAUAAUUAAAUCUUGUUCUCAGUUAUGUGUGCUAAAUUUUUUAUUUAAUAUUUUCAAAUUAUUAAUUCAUGUUUGAUAUGCUUAAUUCAGAGUAGAUCUAGCAUAAUUCAAUGGAGUUGCAUGUAAUCCUAGAAAUAGGACAACAUAAAUCUACCCUGUUAGAGUCAAAUCUAAUAGAAGAAUUCAUAAAUCGAGUCGGUACGAUAAUAGGGAUUUCAAUUAAUCCGUAAAUAUCCCAAAAUAAUAUUCGACUUAUACGAUACAUUUCUAAAGUUGCGAAAGAGUACCUUGGGUGCAAUAUGGCCCAUGGUACCUCUAACUGUUGUCAUUGAAAUAGCAUUUUGUUCCUUGGAACACAAUUUAGCAAGGCCUGAAUGGAGGAUACGUUACUAGCCUUGAUGCAGGUACUCGAUGCCUUUGGUUACACCGACAAUAAUAUCCUGAAGUUUUUCCCAACUAAGGGAUCGAUCCGUACCCUUAGCUUGCAAAUAUGAACUUCUUUAAUGACUCGUUUGGUAGGUAUUCAUAAAUGAGAACUCAGUCAUAUCCAUCGACACAAAACUCAACCAGGCAUGUCACAUUCACAUGGUGGAUUCUGCCCAUCGAACCCACCUCAUUGAUGAACUCUCAAUAUUUAACUAAAGUUUGCUUUUUUACUUUUUUUUUUAUUUUCAUUUUUAAGAAAAUGUUAUUUUAUUAAUUCAAUUAUCAAAAUUAUUAUUAUUUUAUUUAAAUUAGAUUAAUCCUCAUUUAAUUAUUACAAGUAUAUUAUUUUAAAAUUAUAAAAAUUAUUAUUUAAUAAUUAAACAAAUAAACAUUUAAAAUCACAUACAUUACAUUAAAAACUAGUAUAUCUAAAUAUAUAUUUUACCACUUAUUUUAAUCUUGUUAUUUUUAAUUUCAUCAAAAUUAUUAUAUAUCACUCGAGCCACUGCGACUGCUGACCGGUGAUUAUUGCCUGCAUAAUUUGAUGAAAGGUUCUGAAUUAAUACAUCCAAGACUUUUAUGAGCAUCGCCAUUGACUGACCGACGACUUGUAUGAAAGAAUUUUCCACGUACGUUAGCUUUAUUACUGGACUGAUUUUUCAAAGAAAGACUUGCUCUCAAUUGGAGCCAUAAAACAAAUGAAUGAUUGGCAUUUUACAUUAAAGAGCAUCCCAUUGUUUAUUUCUUCAUCGGAGCUCCACCGGAACUUGAUGAUGUUAAGACCCAGACUUUUCUUGUUUAGCAUCUUUGCCCUUACUUUAUCUCUAUCCCCAGAUGUUUCCGAUGGUAGAGCAGGCAAAAGCAACCACUGUGGCCCAUCUUUGUGUGGACACGUUAAUAUCAGACACCCUUUCCGACUAAAAGGUCAGCCUCGUCGAUGUGGUGACCGUAGGUAUGAAUUAGAAUGCAAGAGAAACCGCACCAGUUUUCCCAUGAAAUACGGAAACUUUUAUGUCCUAAACAUCUCUUAUGUUGACCGAACGCUUCGACUUGUGGAUGUGAGUCUGGUCGAUGAAAACUGCUCAAUUCCUCGCAGUUCCAUUGUCUAUUAUCCAUACAGCUAUCAAGAAGACAUAAAUUAUGGAAGACACACCAUGUAUCUGGUAAAUUGCACGACAAGGAUGAAGUCUUCUUCAGUUUAUGUCGAUGCUUCUCGUUGCCCAACCAAUAGCUCUUCUUCUCCUUGGACCUACUUCUACUUUCCAGUCUCGUUUUCAAAUAUAUCCGAUUUCCAUCAUUCGUGUAGAUUUAUAGCCCAGUUUCCUGUCAUGCUUUCCAAUAUUAGUGGCUUAUCCCCUUCUUACAUUUACAAAAACCUGUUGGAAGGCGUCGAGGUGUCCUGGUAUAGACCCUUUAGUUUUUGGCCUUCAAACCCGGUUCUCAAAGUGUAAGAGACUUCGAUCUUUAGAUUCUUUCAAUCUAUAACUUUUCAAGGCCUUAUUUAUUGAUUGGUUGCUUUUUUUUUCCUUGGGGGGGGGGGGGG
rnacentral:lncRNA from 1 species